GAGAGUACUAUCAGCCUGGAGAGAGGGGCAGAGACUCAGGCUCUCCCCCAGCAGAGGGAAUGGAGUUCAGGCUUGCUGGGGAGCAGACUUCAGGACAGAGGAGAGCCUGAGUCAUCCUAGGAAAAGCUGAUUCCCCAUCCAGGUUGGAGCUGUGCAGUCAGGGACACAGGUUCGGUGGUUUGGGUGCCAAAACGGGAUGAAACACCUCCGAAACUAAACAGCUGCCAAAAUUUCUCACAGCCCUACUAUAGAGAGAUACAGCCCACUGUGAAAUGCACAGUAAGGAGGAAAGUUCUUACUGUGCUACAUCCUUGCAUGUUAGGUCCUAGUAUUGGCCUGAGAUCUUGCAGUGGCCAGAGGAAACUCUGCAAGGGCACAUUGAAAACAUACCUCAAGAAAAUGGAUGCCAAGGUCAAGGCUGUGGAGAACCUGGAUCCUAACCAACUCCAAUGGCAACCAAGAAGCUGCCCAUUUCACGGUAAAGCAAUUUGCUCUUGAAGCAGAGAAGAGAAAGUAAGGAGAGAAAAAGAAAGAAAUCCUGUCUUAAGGCCUACCCUUCCCUGCAGAAAUUCCUGCAACUUCUGUGGACAGGUCUGUGGCUGAAGGAUUGGACUCUUAAGUCACCUCAAAACCCAUCAGAGCUGUGGUAAACAUCAUCCUUGAACUGAGGAAUUCCAGAUGUGAAUGUUAACAUUAGACUUCAAGUCAGCUGGACAGUUAUCACUGCACGCUUCUCAGAGGCACAGGUACUGACCCUCCUUGUGAGUGGAUCCAGAUCCUACCACAAAGAAGACCUUUAUAUGACAUUAAAUAAGAAUAAUUCCACCAAAU